rnacentral:rRNA from 1 species
UGGGGAAUCUUGGACAAUGGGCGCAAGCCUGAUCCAGCCAUGCCGCGUGAGCGAUGAAGGCCUUAGGGUUGUAAAGCUCUUUCACCGGUGAAGAUAAUGACGGUAGCCGGAGAAGAAGCCCCGGCUAACUCCGUGCCAGCAGCCGCGGUAAUACGGAGGGGGCUAGCGUUGUUCGGAAUUACUGGGCGUAAAGCGCACGUAGGCGGACCAGAAAGUUGGGGGUGAAAUCCCGGGGGCUCAACCCCGGAACUGCCUCCAAAACUAUUGGUCUAGAGUUCGAGAGAGGUGAGUGGAAUUCCAAGUGUAGAGGUGAAAUUCGUAGAUAUUUGGAGGAACACCAGUGGCGAAGGCGGCUCACUGGCUCGAUACUGACGCUGAGGUGCGAAAGUGUGGGGAGCAAACAGGAUUAGAUACCCUGGUAGUCCACACCGUAAAACGAUGAAUGCCAGUCGUCGGGUAGCAUGCUAUUCGGUGACACACCUAACGGAUUAAGCAUUCCGCCUGGGGAGUACGGUCGCAAGAUUAAAACUCAAAUGAAUUG